UAAAAAAUUAAAUUAUUCUAAAAAUAAAUUUACAAAAGUAAACUUCGUAAAAUGCCUGCAUUAUAAUCAUAGAUUUAGAGUUGGAUCAUUUUUUUGUAGGAAGGGGUGUUCUGGUAAAUGUUUAACCACCAGCUACCUGGGUACACAUGACACAUUUUAAAGUUUAAUCUGCAUUAUUAACAUUUGCUCUACUGGUUUCUUAUAACUAGGUAAUCAAUAAAAUAAGAAAUAAAAGGUCUGAUUUAUAGCAUUUGCUGAUUUCCAAGCUUUAAAUGCUCACAAUGAAAAUUUAAAAAUAAGUCCUUGGCAGUAAAACCUGGCUUCAGGAUCCUCUUGGUUCUUCCUCUGAAUGUGGAUAGUGUUCUUUCUCACAAGUCCCUCAGAAUUGUCCUGUGUGAUAGAGGCUGGUACUAGAGAAAAAGUGCCAGACUGAAGAGUAUGUGAAAUUGAUCACCUCGAUGGGAGAGGGGCCCCAGGAGUGAAUUUCCGGGGGAGAGAGGACUCUGGCUGGGAGAGCUGUGAGUGUCUCUCCGUCUCUCCGUCUGGAGACAUCAAAGAGAGAAGGUGGAAAAAGACUUUCUCUUGAGGGUUACCCAUUUUUCCUGCUGGUGACUGGAAAUCCUUCCCCCCAACAUUUCCUAGUUGAAGAGACUUUCUGAAGAGAAACCUGAGCAGACUUUACCUCAAUUCCUGUUGCCCAGGGAGUAGCUAGUCAACUCCGUGGUUUUCCUCAAUGAACAUUACAUUUUUUAAAAGAUGAAGGAACCAACAAAGGGAAAUUUUUUUCUGGAUCUGAUGCUCAGCACUGAAGAGGAACUGUGGUGGACAUAAUGUUCUUCCUCUGGAUGUGGAUAGUGUUCUUUCUCAUCAGUCCCUCAGAAUUGUCCUGGAUCAUUGCAUUGCCACUAAUAGAGAAGUCCAUUACAUUUGAUUGUGCCAUAGUGUAUCUCUCUCUGUGUACAAUGUUCUCCUGGUUUUGCCCUCUUCACUCUGCAUCAAUUCCUGGAGGUCGUUCCAGUUCACAUGGAAUUCCUCCAGUUCAUUAUUCCUUCUAGCUCAAUAGUAUUCCAUCACCAACAGAUACCAUAAUUUGUUCAGCCAUUCCCCAAUUGAAGGGCAUCCCCUCAUUUUCCAGUUUUUUUGCUACCACAAAGAACGCAGCUAUGAAUAUUCUUGUACAAGUCUUUUUCCUUAUGAUCUCUUUGGAGUAUAAACCCAGCAGUGCUAUGGCUGGCUCAAAGGGCAGACAGUCUUUUUGAGUGGCUAAUCCUUUUAGACAAUCUCGAUGUCAGAGAAAGUGGGGAAAAUGGCAUAUAUUGGAAACCAACCAGAAACUUCUAAUUUUACAUGUAAUAGCAAGGGCUAUUAGAAGGAAUGGGCCAAGGCUUCAGGAGACAGCCCAGUCUAGAAAAUGGGGUAGGAUUCCUCUGAUUAUCCUAUUAUGUUGUAAUGGUGGAAAUUUAGCCUUUAGGAUUGAGGUAAUAUUGAACAAUGGCCGCCAAGGAAUUUACUUAUGAAAUUCCUAAAAUGAAACACUCAAGUCAGAAUGGAGUUUAUGGAGGUUUAAUCACACUGGGAGUAGGGAAAGGAGAGGGAGAGAAGGAGAGAAGAGAAAAAGGGAAAGGGGCUACUCAACCUCUGACCAAGGCAGAGGGAGUUUUUAGGCCCAAAGGGCCAAGGUGGAAAGAAUCAGUCCUUAACUCACGUGAGUGAUCUGAAGGAAAGCUGUCUGCGGGCAUCCUCUCUGUCCAAGCUCCUAACACCAACUCUCCUCUGGCUCUCUCCACAGGAAGUGCGCGAAUUCCAGAGGCUGUUCCCUACCUCACUUCCUGUGUCUCACAAGUGCCAAUGGUUGGCUCUAGCUUAGCUUAGGACAGCCCAGGUGGGCAGUUAGUUAUUUCUGAUUUGUCAUUGACUAGCACAUGCCCGUGUAGUGUGGGUGUGCACAAUUUUUGGGUGCUAUACCAAGAUGGAGACUUUUAAAAUUCACAAUGUAUAAAAAUUAUUUAAAAUAAUUUUCAAUGUAAUUUCUGAGAGGAGAGAGGCAGAAACUGGGGAAAUCAGAAUAGGUUUGCUAAAGAAAAUAGCUCUUUAUCUAGGGCAGGAGGAAAUUCAGGAGUAUAUGAUGCAAUUAUGAAGAGCAGAUCAUUGUGGCACAGAAUGCUUUAGAAUCAGGGGAUCUAUGUUCAAAUUCUGCUCCUGCUAUUCUGUACAUUUGUAUUCUGUGGUAAGACAGUCAUUCAACUUCUCUGGCAGCUAGGUGGUACGGUGAAUAGAAAACUGGUUUUGGAGUCAAGAAGAUCUGAGUUCAAAUUUGUCUUCAGACAUUUGCUAGCUGUGUGACCCUGAACAAAUAAUUUAAUCUCUGUUUGCCUCAGUUUUCUCAAAGGUAAAAUGGGAAUAAUAAUAUUAUCCUACCUUUUAGGGUUAUUUUGAAAUGCCUGGCAGACAAAAAACAUGUAAUAAAUAUUUAUUCUUUUUCCA
ensembl:lncRNA